rnacentral:rRNA from 1 species
GACGAACGCUGGCGGCGUGCUUAACACAUGCAAGUCGAACGGAAAGGCCCUGCUUUUGUGGGGUGCUCGAGUGGCGAACGGGUGAGUAACACGUGAGUAACCUGCCCUUGACUUUGGGAUAACUUCAGGAAACUGGGGCUAAUACCGGAUAGGAGCUCCUGCUGCAUGGUGGGGGUUGGAAAGUUUCGGCGGUUGGGGAUGGACUCGCGGCUUAUCAGCUUGUUGGUGGGGUAGUGGCUUACCAAGGCUUUGACGGGUAGCCGGCCUGAGAGGGUGACCGGCCACAUUGGGACUGCGAGACGGCCCAGACUCCUACGGGAGGCAGCAGUGGGGAAUAUUGCACAAUGGGCGGAAGCCUGAUGCAGCAACGCCGCGUUCGGGAUGACGGCCUUCGGGUUGUAAACCGCUUUCGCCUGUGACGAAGCGUGAGUGACGGUAAUGGGUAAAGAAGCACCGGCUAACUACGUG